GGCUUCAUGGUCUAGUGGUAUGAUUCCUGCUUUGGGUUGAAGCUUGCAGGAGGCCCCGCGUUCGAAUCGCGGUGGAGCCC